rnacentral:lncRNA from 1 species
UUCAUGGAUUUAUGCACUCGAGGGGUGUCCUCAUAGGCCCUGGGCUUCAGCCAGAGCAUUGCAAUGAGACUCUAGAGGCAACAUUGGGCUGAUCACUUUGAGCACCAAAACUCUAGAAAUUAGAUGUGUUUGUAUGUGUGUAAAUCAGGCUGCAGCUGUGUGCAUAUGUGUGUGUGUUGUGCACACACCUCCUUAAGUGAGGCCUUGUGGGAGCCCAGAGGCUGCUGUUAGCCUCCAGCUUGACAGGCUCCAAAGGAAGCUCUGGAAUGCUUGGUUCUCAGGCUCCGUUUCGCUAUUGUGUAGGAUUCUUGUGGGGACAUGGUGCUCCAGCUGCUUAUGCAAAUUUGUUAUCCAGGCGCCCCAUCCAGGCAUAGCACAGCCUCAGUCUGGAAAUUUCACACACAAAGGUGACUGAGCAGCCACUCCUUCCUCUUGUGCUUAUGGCAUGGGACCUUGUGCAGGGACCCUGUCCCUGUAUCUCUACAACACCAAAUGAGUGAGCAGAGACACGUCUCUCCUUCCACGCAGCUCAACACGUCUUUGUGUGGGAAUACAUCUUCCAAGUGGAGAAGCAGGUUCUGGCUAAGGGGCCAUGGAGGUGCUCUUGGUGUUCGGCCCUCCCCAGCCUGGGGUUCCUCCAUCUUCCUCCGCCUCAGAGAUAUCCAGGGUGUCAGUGGCAUCUGCUUGGAACUCGCAGCUCUCCUGGGCCUUAUAUGCUCCCACUCAGAGUGGACUCCAGCAGGGGAGGUUUGCACUCAGAGCAUACGUCCAGUCCACCACUGGUUCUGCCUGCACUGUGACAGGAAGUAGGGGAUGGAGAACAGGAAGUGGAUCUAAUCAACUGGUGCCCAAUCAAACGGAUCUUCUUGUCCUCACCAACCAUCCCCAGGUUCCCCAACUGAGCACCACAUGCUUGAUGUCCAUUCCAAGGCAAAUCAGGAAAUCCUGUAACACCAACUGGACAGAACCUCAGGGAUCAGCUGAACAAUACCCUUAUGUUAUAGACCAGGAACCUGGCAGUGGAAGGGACUCACCUACAGCCACACAGCAAGACACCCAAAGAGGUGAGGCUUGACGCCACAUAGAUUCCUUCCCAACCCAUUGUUACUUUUGCAAUGCCAUGCCGAUUGACGUAAAGAUAUCAAAUCUAAUUUUUGAUGGAGCAUUAUUCAUUCAUUCAGAUGGGUUUCUGUUAAGUAU